UGCAAGAGUCUUUUCUGCUCAGCCACAUCACUGGCCCUGGGUGGAGUUUGAAGGAAGUCAAAGGGAGAACAUCCUUCCAAUCUGACUGCAACUGGAAAAGUCCUGGAGACAAACAGUCACACCUUGGCCACCAAGUGACACAGACACACCAACCAAAGGGAGAACUGCUCCUGGUUACCAGCGUCUCCACAGCAAAGCUUCCCCAUGAAUAGGAAGUCACAACAGUGAAGUUACAGACACAACUGUCCCAGCCUCCCCUUCCACUGUGUGGAGCCGCUCAUCAUGGGACUCAUUCUCCCUCAUCAGAGGGGAGGCCUCACCGUAGCGGAUCGGAUCGGCUUCUCCCCACUUAGUGGUUUUGGUAGUUUCUAUUUAUAGUUUAGCUCCUCUGCAGAAGGUCAAGACUGACACUUUCUUUUUAAGGGUCUUGCUGAACGCAGAGCCCACAGACCCAGGCCUGUCUGUCUAGGUGACUUCACCUGGGGAUCACUGGCUUUGGCUCUGGAGUACUGGGCCUCACACUUGGUGCUUUUCACGUGGCUUCUUCAAGAUCAUUUUAAGAAUCUCUCCUAUUUAAACUUUCAUGAUGCUGUAUUGGUAUUGGUCUUUCUUCUUGUUUUGCUCUGAUCUGGGCUGUGAUGUGUGGAACUGCCCUCGUUGUCCCCCACCUCCUGUCACCUUUCCUCAUGGCCUUCCUUGCUGGACUCAUGGUAGUUUGAGGUUGAGCCUCCUGGUUUGAUUUUCUCCUUUUCUUUUUGAAUAAGUGUGUGCUUGUGCACAUGGAGGUGCACAUGCAUGCGCACAUAUGGGGGUGUGUAUGUGCAUGCAGUGUGCACAUGUUGUAUGUGCGUGUGGAGGGAGGCCAGAGGACAACCUCCAGUUUCAUUCUCCCCAAUACCACCUGACUCCUUUGAGUCAGGGUCUCUCUUUGGCCUGGAGCUCACCAGUUAGUCUAGACCAACUGGGUAGUCAGCCUAUGCAGGAAUCCCGUGUCUUUCCUUCCUUGGGCUGUCAUGACAAGCACUUAGCAUCAAACUCAGUUUAUUGUGAGCCCCGACUCGGGUCCCCACGCCUGCAUGGCAAGUGCUUUACCAGCAGCGCUUCCCUACCCCAGCUCCUUAGCUGACUGUUAUCUUAGUCUUUGGGAUCUAUUUUCCAGACGACAUGACAUGCUCAGCUUCACUUUAUAAUCGGAUUCGGCAGCAUCCUGCUCUUGUCUCUCUCACAGAGGCAGUACCUCUUCACCACCGCUUUCUGUAAUGGGGGCUCUCCUUUAACACCUGCCAUUCUUUAGCUUCAUUUAAUGGGACACCCUAGAGAGGAGGCUGGGGGUCUUGAGGAGGUAAACCAUUGAUGGCUGGGCUUCAUCCUAGUGUAAUACAGAUCAAUGAAUUCAGAACCUGCAGUUCCUGCCUCUAAAGGGAAACUAAUUCCCCACUCUCUUUCUUGGGUCAUAUAGAGAUCGAGAGCAAACACAUCAAGCUUUGGGGGACAAAGCAGAGGGUACAUGAUUUUAUUUAUUUUUUGUUAAAGUUUUUGAAAUCUAUUUUCUUACAUGAGUACACUGUGGCUGUCUUCAGACACACACUAGAAGAUCCCAUUACAGAUGGUUGUGAGCCACUAUGUAGUUGCUGGGAAUUUAACUCAGAACCUCGGGAACACCAGUCAGUAUUCUUAACUGCUGAGCUAUCUCUCCAGCCCCACACAUGUUUUUUUUUUUUUUAAUUUAAUCUUUCAUUUUAUAGAAGAUGUAUUCCUUAAAUCUACCUUACAUUACUAACAUGUUUAAAAUGGUAUGCAGUAAUUUUAUGUAUUACAGGGCACAUGUGACAUUUCCUUUUUUUGUGUGCAGUGCUAAGGACUGAGCCCAGGGCCUCGUGUGUGCAAGAACUCCAGCCCUUAAUCUUUGCUCUGGGAAGUGUCUUUCUGUAUAGCCAUUCAGAAUGCAAAUUUACCCUUACCUGACAUCAAGUGCCAGUGUUUAUUAACUGCCCCUUGCCUUCCAGCCCGAGUCACUGUGCCUCCCUUUCCAUGGAGAGUGAGUUUUACAAGAAUGAAGAGUGAGGUAAAGGCAAAUGGGCAGCGUCACGGACACUGCAAAGAGAAGCUCCCACAGCGAGUCAGUCACUGGGUGGUUCUUUUUCAAGGUCUUUGGCCAAUACAUUCUUGUCUUGGGCCCAAACACUGUGGCUCCAUUUUGUAAUUCUAUUCUGUUUCAUAACUAUCCUAAUGGAUGUGCAACCUGUAAUUUAAGUUUUGAGUAGUAUUAUUUUCUUGUAGUUGUCUUAAAGAGAGGUUAAUUCCCCCGACCCCCUGCAGCCCCCAAAUCAAAUACAAGACUUUCUGGAGGCAGAGCCAGUAUUGGGGAGUGAACCUGGACUGACACAAGCUAAGCGAGUGUUCUCCACUGAGUUAUAUCCUCAGCUCUAUUCUUAACUAAAAAUAAUAAAAAAAAAUUUCUGAUACAGGCUCUCCUCAGGGUGCUCAGAAAAUGCACGACUUCACUCUGUAGUAUAAGCUUCCUCAAACUAACUCGGAUAGUUUCUGUCUCCCCGUAACCAGGAUUGUAAGCUAUGCCUCUCGGGACAGCUACAGUUUUCUUGAAAAACUUUACUAUCCGAGAAGGUUGGAGUCUUUUAUCGUUUGCCCCUCCCCUCGAGACAAUCAGCUCCUCAGCACUGUGUCAGUCUGUGUGUGAGCCUGUGAGUCCUGGGUACUGCACAGGGAGGCCCACAGGCUCCAGGGUUCCGGGGACAGCCGGUCACAAAGAUCACAGGAACAUCUCCUUGAAGUCCUCUGAGCUCUGCAGGUGGCAGAUCAGAGACAAAGGGGUUCCCUUGGGGGAAUCCUGAGUGUGGACAGACAAACAAAUGCUGGGACUUAUCACUUUCCCUAACUCUUACUGUUCUCAGUCUGAUAGGGGAGAGAGGGCCAGAGGCAGGACGCUGCGGCCAGAUAAGAGAGGAGGAGACAAAGAAGCUUGGUACACGAUAUGGCCGAGUUUGGUCUUGAAAGUGUGAGGUUCUCAAGUUCAACCUGACGAGAGCUGGCUGUCCACACUAAGGCUAUGUUGGCAACCUGUGAGCGUGCAAUUAUGUCCUACUUUUCAGUUCAUGUGUUACUUCCUUGACAUCCUUCUGAAGAGAACAAAACAGGAAUUUGAUUUUAUACCUUUAAAGGACAUCAAGUCGCAACCCACUGUCAGCCUCCACCCCAACGCCCCUGUCUGCAACCUUAGGCCAGACCAUCCUGAGCAUACUACACAUAUGGUAUAACAUAUCCACUUGUUAAUCUGAGAUACAGAACCAGACAGAUAUCAAACUCACCUUUAUCAUUGUCUCAUAACGAGCUGCUAUUUAAACCCUGGAAUUUCUGGAAUGAUUGAAAAAUCUGAUUUUUUUAAAACCUGAACUUUUAGUAGGACAACAUAGUGCCUGUUGCUGUGAAGAUUAGUGCUGGGUGGGUUUGGUCAACUUGAUAUAAACUUAGGCAUAUCAGGGAAGGCAGGAAUCUCAACUGAGGAAUUGCCUCCAUCAGACUGGCCUGUAGGAAGGUCCGUGUGGUGGGCAUUUUUAUUGAUUAAUGAUUGAUGGGGGAGGGUCAAGAUCUCUGUUGGCAAUGUUACUCCUGAUCAAGGUGGUCCUAGGGUAUGUAAGCUGAGCAAGCUCUGAAGAGAGAGAGGCAGUAAGCAACAUCUCUCCACGGCCUCUGCUUCAGUUCCUGCCUUGAAGCUUGCCCUGACUUCCCUUCAUGAUGCAAUGCAAACUGUGAGCUGAGGUAGACCUCUUCCUUCCCAGGUUGUUUUUGGUUAUGGUGUGUAACACAGGGACAGAAACCUAAGUAGGACAAGAUCAAGACAAAACCAUCUUUAUGCGACUGGAGAGAUGGCUCAGCAGUUAAGGACACCUGUUGCUCUUCCAGAGGACCUGGGUUUAAUUCCCAACGCCCACAUGGUGGCUCAUGACCAUCUAACCACAGUUCCAGGGGAUUCCAUGUCCUCUUAUGACCUCCAUGGUGACUGGGUGUGCAUGUGGAACCCAAAUAUACAUGCAAACAAGACACUCAUCCCCAUACAACAAAAGUAAGGCUCCGAAAGGUUUAAACUUCCAGAAGCCCUUGAUCGCUGCAUAGGUGUGUAUGUGAGUGUGAGUGUGAGUGUGAGUGUAAGCAGGCACGGCGUGCCAUCAUGUGCUUACGGAGGCCAGAGCACAACUUCUGGCAGUUUUCCCUUCCCACGAUGGAGACCCCACUCAGGUGGUCAGGCUUGAGUGGCAAGCACCUUUACCCACUGUACCAUUUUACUGGCCC